rnacentral:rRNA from 1 species
AUGAACGCUGGCGGCAGGCCUAACACAUGCAAGUCGAACGGAGUUAUAUUGUAGCUUGCUAUGGUAUAACUUAGUGGCAGACGGGUGAGUAAUGUAUAGGAAUCUACCUAGUAGUACGGAAUAAUUGUUGGAAACGGCAACUAAUACCGUAUACGCCCUACGGGGGAAAAAUUUAUUGCUAUUAGAUGAGCCUAUAUUAGAUUAGCUAGUUGGUGGAGUAAUAGCCUACCAAGGCAAUGAUCUAUAGCUGAUCUGAGAGGAUGAUCAGCCACACUGGAACUGAGAUACGGUCCAGACUCCUACGGGAGGCAGCAGUGGGGAAUAUUGGACAAUGGGCGAAAGCCUGAUCCAGCCAUGCCGCAUGAGUGAAGAAGGCCUUUGGGUUGUAAAGCUCUUUUAGUGAGGAAGAUAAUGACGGUACUCACAGAAGAAGUCCUGGCUAACUCCGUGCCAGCAGCCGCGGUAAUACGGAGAGGGCUAGCGUUAUUCGGAAUUAUUGGGCGUAAAGGGCGCGUAGGCGGAUUAGUAAGUUAAAAGUGAAAUCCCAAGGCUCANNCUUGGAAUUGCUUUUA